rnacentral:rRNA from 1 species
GCCUACGGGUGGCUGCAGUGGGGAAUAUUGGACAAUGGGCGAAAGCCUGAUCCAGCCAUGCCGCGUGUGUGAAGAAGGCCUUCGGGUUGUAAAGCACUUUCAGUGGGGAAGAAAGCCUUGGGGCUAAUACCCUCGAGGAAGGACAUCACCCACAGAAGAAGCACCGGCUAACUCCGUGCCAGCAGCCGCGGUAAUACGGAGGGUGCGAGCGUUAAUCGGAAUUACUGGGCGUAAAGCGCGCGUAGGCGGUCUGAUAAGCCGGUUGUGAAAGCCCCGGGCUCAACCUGGGAACGGCAUCCGGAACUGUCAGGCUAGAGUGCAGGAGAGGAAGGUAGAAUUCCCGGUGUAGCGGUGAAAUGCGUAGAGAUCGGGAGGAAUACCAGUGGCGAAGGCGGCCUUCUGGACUGACACUGACGCUGAGGUGCGAAAGCGUGGGUAGCAAACAGGAUUAGAUACCCUGGUAGUC